UACAUAGGUCUCAAGCGUUGUUCGGAUUCAUUGGGCGUAAAGGGUGCGUAGGCGGCGCGGUAAGUCGGGUGUGAAAUCUCGGGGCUUAACUCCGAAACUGCAUUCGAUACUGCCGUGCUUGAGGACUGGAGAGGAGACUGGAAUUUACGGUGUAGCGGUGAAAUGCGUAGAUAUCGUAAGGAAGACCAGUGGCAAAGGCGGGUCUCUGGACAGUUCCUGACGCUGAGGCACGAAGGCCAGGGGAGCAAACGGG
rnacentral:rRNA from 1 species